rnacentral:rRNA from 1 species
AGAGUCUGAUCCUGGCUCAGAACGAACGCUGGCGGCAGGCCUAACACAUGCAAGUCGAACGUGAACGCAUCUUCGGAUGUUAGUAAAGUGGCGCACGGGUGAGUAACGCGUGGGAAUCUACCUGGUAGUACGGAAUAACCGUUGGAAACGAUGGAUAAUACCGUAUACGCCCUUCGGGGGAAAGAUUUAUUGCUAUCAGAUGAGCCCGCGUGACAUUAGCUAGUUGGUAAGGUAACGGCUUACCAAGGCGACGAUGUCUAGCUGGUCUGAGAGGAUGAUCAGCCACACUGGAACUGAGACACGGUCCAGACUCCUACGGGAGGCAGCAGUGGGGAAUAUUGGGCAAUGGGCGAAAGCCUGACCCAGCCAUGCCGCGUGAGUGAUGAAGGCCCUAGGGUUGUAAAGCUCUUUCGCAGGUGAAGAUAAUGACGGUAACCUGUAAAGAAGCCCCGGCUAACUUCGUGCCAGCAGCCGCGGUAAUACGAAGGGGGCUAGCGUUGUUCGGAAUCACUGGGCGUAAAGCGCGUGUAGGCGGAUAUGCAAGCCAGAGGUGAAAUCCCGGGGCUCAACCCCGGAACUGCCUUUGGAACUGUAUAUCUGGAGUCUUGGAGGGGAGUGCGGAAUUCCUAAUGUAGAGGUGAAAUUCGUAGAUAUUAGGAGGAACACCGAUGGCGAAGGCAGCACUCUGGACAAGUACUGACGCUGAGACGCGAAAGCGUGGGGAGCAAACAGGAUUAGAUACCCUGGUAGUCCACGCCGUAAACGAUGGAUGCUAGCCGUUGGGACGCGAGUUUCAGUGGCGACGUUAACGCAUUAAGCAUCCCGCCUGGGGAGUACGGUCGCAAGAUUAAAACUCAAAGGAAUUGACGGGGACCCGCACAAGCGGUGGAGCAUGUGGUUUAAUUCGAGGCAACGCGAAGAACCUUACCAGGGCUUGACAUGCCCGUCGCGGAAACCAGAGAUGGUUUCCUUCAGCGUGGCUGGACGGUGCACAGGUGCUGCACGGCUGUCGUCAGCUCGUGUCGUGAGAUGUUGGGUUAAGUCCCGCAACGAGCGCAACCCUCAUCCUUAGUUGCUAACAUUUAGUUGAGAACUCUAAGGAAACUGCCGGAGUUAAUUCGGAGGAAGGUGGGGAUGACGUCAAGUCUUCAUGGCCCUUACGUCCUGGGCUACACACGUGCUACAAUGGCGGUGACAAUGGGCAGCGAUACAGCAAUGUAGAGCGAAUCCCUAAAAGCCGUCUCAGUUCGGAUUGUGGGCUGCAACUCGCCCGCAUGAAGUCGGAAUCGCUAGUAAUCGUAGAUCAGCAUGCUACGGUGAAUACGUUCCCGGGUCUUGUACACACCGCCCGUCACACCAUGGGAGUUGUCUCUGCCCGAAGUAGCUGAGCUGACUUCGGAGGUAGGUUACCACGGUAGGGGCAGCGACUGGGGUGAAGUCGGAACAAGGUA